rnacentral:ncRNA from 1 species
AAAAAGACAUUGAACAGGAGAAGUAAGUUCACACUGCUUUAGUUAGAGAGGAAUCAUCAUAGGCUGGAAAUGGUUCUAAAGUAUAGGUGAAUUGAAGUGCCCCUGGGAGUCAUUGCUUGAAGGAGAGUAGGGUAAAUCGGGAGGUCCCGUUACAGACUAAAAGGGGAAUGAACUUUUUCAUUCAACCAGAGUGGAACCGCGGAAAAACUUCGUCUCUGUC